rnacentral:rRNA from 16 species
GUCACACCCGUUCCCAUACCGAACACGGAAGUUAAGCUCUCUAGCGCCGAUGGUAGUUGGGACCUUGUCCCUGUGAGAGUAGGACGUCGCCAAGCU